CACCUUACUCAGUAGCACGUGGCUAACCUGCCCUUGGGACCGGAACAACCCCGGGAAACUGGGGCUAAUUCUCGAUAGGUGAAGAUUCCUGGAAUGGAUUUUUGCCGAAAAGACGUUUAGGGCAUGCUUCUAGGCGUUGCCCAAGGAUGGGGCCGCGGCCGAUCAGGUUGUUGGUGAGGUAAUGGCUCACCAAGCCUUUAACCGGUUCGGGCCGUGGGAGCGGUAGCCCGGAGAUGGGCACUGAGACAAGGGCCCAGGCCCUACUUUUCACAUCAGUCGCGAAAACUUCGCAAUAAGCGAAAGCUUGACGGGGCCAUCCCGAGUGCCAUCUGCUGAGGAUGGCUUUUACCCACUAUAGAGAGCUGGGGGAAUAAUGAGAGGUGAAAUAUGGUGUCACCCUCAAGCGUAAUAC
rnacentral:rRNA from 1 species